rnacentral:rRNA from 1 species
CCUCCUUAGAGUUUGACCUGGCUCAGGAUGAACGCUGGCGGCGUGCUUAACACAUGCAAGUCGAACGAUGAAGCCCAGCUUGCUGGGUGGAUUAGUGGCGAACGGGUGAGUAACACGUGAGUAACCUGCCCUUAACUCUGGGAUAAGCCUGGGAAACUGGGUCUAAUACCGGAUAGGAGCGCCUACCGCAUGGUGGGUGUUGGAAAGAUUUAUCGGUUUUGGAUGGACUCGCGGCCUAUCAGCUUGUUGGUGAGGUAAUGGCUCACCAAGGCGACGACGGGUAGCCGGCCUGAGAGGGUGACCGGCCACACUGGGACUGAGACACGGCCCAGACUCCUACGGGAGGCAGCAGUGGGGAAUAUUGCACAAUGGGCGCAAGCCUGAUGCAGCGACGCCGCGUGAGGGAUGACGGCCUUCGGGUUGUAAACCUCUUUCAGUAGGGAAGA